ACACGUGGCUAACCUACCCUCGAGACAGGGACAACCCCGGGAAACUGGGGCUAAUCCAUAUAGAUGAGAACCCCCGGAACGGGUUUUCGUCCAAAAGGCACUGCGGUUAUGCUCUGCAGUGUCGCUCAAGGAUGGGGCCGCGUCCGAUCAGGCUGUUGGUGAGGCAAUGGCUCACCAAACCUAUAACCGGUACGGGCCGUGGGAGCGGGAGCCCGGGAAGAUGGGAACUGAAGACAAGGUCCCAGGCCCUACGGGGCGCAGCAGUUACGAAAACUUGUCAAUGCACGAAAGUGUGAACGGGCUACCCCGAGUGCCGUCCGCUGAGGAUGGCUUUUCUCUGCUGUAAGAAGGCGGAGGAAUAAGGCGAGGGCAAGUCUGGUGUCAGCCGCCGCGGGUAAUACCAGCUCGCCGAGUGGUAGGGAUGAUUUAUUGGGCCUGAAGCGUCCGUAGCCGGCCUUUCAAGUCUCUUGUUAAAUCCAACGAUUCAAUCGCUGGACUGCAGGAGAUACUGUUAGGCUAGGGGGCGGGAGAAGCCGACGGUAUUUUCGGGGUAGGGGUAAAAUCCUAUAAUCCCGGGAAGACCACCAGUGGCGUAGGCGGUCGGCUAGCACGCGCUCGACGGUGAGGGACGAAAGCUGGGGGAGCGAACCGGAUUAGAUA
rnacentral:rRNA from 1 species